rnacentral:rRNA from 1 species
AACGAACGCUGGCGGCGCGUCCUAAACAUGCAAGUCGAACGAUCUGUAGCAAUACAGGGAGUGGCGGACGGGUGAGGAACACGUAGGAAUCUACCUUGAAGAGCGGGACAACUUUGGGAAACCGGGGCUAAUACCGCAUAGUACAGAGAUGUUAAAGGGCUAGCAAUAGUCGCUUCGAGAUGAGCCUGCGGUCUAUCAGCUUGUUGGUGAGGUAAUGGCUCACCAAGGCUACGACGGAUAGCCGGUCUGAGAGGAUGAUCGGCCACACUGGCACUGAGACACGGGCCAGACUCCUACGGGAGGCAGCAGUUAAGAAUCUUGCGCAAUGGGGGAAACCCUGACGCAGCGACGCCGCGUGAAGGAUGAAGGCUUUCGGGUUGUAAACUUCGGUAGACUGGAAGAAGAAAUAACGUUCGUUGAGGGCGGUAUAGUGACGGUACCUGUCUGAAGCCCGG